rnacentral:lncRNA from 1 species
CCUGACUCAUUCCUCAGUUUGGGAAAGUGUGUACAGUUGAUACUGUAUUUUUUGUCCAAUCACACUGUUUAGAUACAUUGGCUUAGGUAGGGUACACAAAAGAGCAACCUAAAUUCUGGAAUGCAAAUACUACCGUGCCACCUUAACUGGUAAUUCCAAAACAGGAAGAGAUAGCAAUACAAUAAUAGUAAAUUCAUAACGGAAAGUGUGAACUAUUUCCGGAAACUUUUUCUUUCCAAACAAGCUAGAUAAUACAUUUCGAUAAAUAAGAAUUUCAUAUAUACUUCUUUAUUUACGAUUAAAAAUGAAAUAUUUAUAAUACAGUUUAGAUGAAUUGUAAUGUAUUAUUGAUAAACAGAGAGAAACCCUUGAUUUCUUGUAAAGAUAAUUUGACCCUUCACUAGAAUGCUCGACUAGUGAAGUAAAUUAUUAACAGCAUGCAAUAUAUUGUAGAAUAAAAAA